ensembl:lncRNA
CUCUUGGUUAGUGGUUCGCUGCCGAGGGACGUGAAGUCAAGGCACAUACUGAGAUAAUAGUAAUAUAGACCGGGUCGUGACUAUUACUAUCACCAUUAUUCAAUUAUCCACUGUAAGGAUUCAGUGGGAUUGUGGUGAAAAUCUAAACAUGCAUGUCAGCGUGUUACCACGUGGCGGAAGGAGCCCACGUGUGCCCGCUGACUGCUGCUGGGGGACGCGACUGUUUACUAAAAGCGGGACUAGAGUUAUUACAAAUAAUGACCGUGCGAUAUGAUGGUGAAGAACUACUUUGAGUUAAGCAUUUAGCAGUGUUUCAACACUACUAAAGAAUGCAACAAAAAGCAUUGUAUUCAAAUUUGAUACCGAGUGCAGACGUGAAAGAUGGCCGCUACUGGUUCAAGACUCAAGACUCCCUUGAUGGUGUCAUGUUACCGGCUGGACUGGACCAGGCUUGCUGCCCAAUGCAUCUAUUGAAGAUGGUUUGAAGCACGCAUCAUGUGAUCGGCUUGAAGUGAACAUCUGGAUCAUUCUGAUGGAGCAGACUUCAUUACCCUCUGUAAGUGUACUUGCAAAAACUUUGUAACCUUUAGUCUGUCGGUGAUGAUUUGUUAUAAGGUUCUUCUGACUUAAAUGAAGCUUACUCGCAGCGCACUGAGACAUUUUAACAAUUUUAGCCAGUUGGUGGCGGUCACACAACUAGGGUCUAACUUUGCCUCCAUUUCAGGUUGAAGAUGGAUUGAGGCCCAUCGUGGGGACGUGACCAGUAAGUCUGAGUCAAGUUAAUGAUGACAUAAAAAUGUGCUUAAGUGAUGAAUCACUUGACUAGAGUCUCUGACUAACUCAUGAAGCUAUUUCACAGUACGCUGACGAGCACAUUCUGCUUGUAUUAACUUGACUGGUUAAUUUGUUGAUGCUAACAAAUCGCAUCCUUGUCUUUCAAACAGAAUUGCCGUGAACAUUUGGAUCCUCCAAUGAUGCACACCUCCUUCCCUUUUAUUGAAGAUUGUUUGAAGCGCACGUCAUGUGACCGGCUUGAAGUGAACAUCUGGAUCAUUCCGAUGGAGCAGACUUCAUUGCCCUCUGUAAGUGUACUUGCAACAACUUUGCAACCUCGAGGAGAAAUCUGUAAAAUGGAUCUGGGAUACAUUUGGAAUGACAACGAGUUAGAAUGUUCAUUUUGGAGCAAACGGCGCAUAUGGACGCAUUCUUAAAUUUGCUGUUUUUACCGACUACCAAAACGCUAUUGUCUCAAAAUAAAAACAAAAUCGCUAUUUUAAACCACUUGCAAGGCUAGAAGUAGCCCGAAAAUAGCUUAGUAUAAUAAGGGUCUUAACAUAUAAAAGGCAUUGAUAACUUUGUAAGUGUACAGAUUAGGGAUGGGCAUUUGAAGAAAUGUCCUUGAUCGAGCAUCGUUAGAGUUAUCGAUCAAUUAUCGAUUAAUCAUUCAAUAAGUAGCCAACUUAUCGGACAACAAUAAUCAAACAAAGGCAGUAGGCUAAAAGUGGGCAUUAAACUGUAUAACUGUUUUGAAAAAAGGCCGACAUAUAAUGCCUAUAGGCUGCAGCCGGCGCGCGGAAAAGGCUCGUAACAAAAAGACGAGCCACCCAUUUACAAACAAUUGCAUGAACAAGUCUAUCUAAAAGCAAUACCUUAUUGAACAUAUAUAAGGCUGAACUUGUUGCUAAAAUAUCAGUUUUGGCAAAAUGUAACGACUCCAAGAGGCACCAAGCCAAAAGAAAAGCGGAGCGAGAGACGACCCAUUAAGAAAAAAAAGAGCGACUCACAUACGGUGGUGACUGUCCCUACUGUCCAUAGCAUACAGUAACUCCAGCCUACAUAUUUUUGUUUAGGAAUAUAAGCAUGUUAACAUGCUCGCGGGUCAGACGCGAACGCAGCCUUGUAACUGUCAGUCCAGCAGCAGAAAACACCCGCUCUGACGGGACCGAAGUUGCGGGGAUGCAGAGGUAUUGUCGCGCUAACUUUGACAGCCUGGGGAACCUUCUUCCUUCACUUUCCACCAGUCGGCAGGGUGGUAUUUCUCCCACAUAUUGAUAUUCAAUUAAAUGCUUCAAGACUCACAGUAUGCAACACAACGUCCUUUUGAUCGAUAACAAUAUAAAUUGAUCGACGCAUUUCUUAAGGAUCGAUUAUCGAGCAUCGAUUAAUUAUGCCCAUCCCUAGUACAGAUGUUUAUUAACAAAGGACAUUUUAUACACACAAUACCAUCAGUAGUUCACCCAUCAACGCCAUCUUGUCUUUAAGACUCCAUAGGUAGGUUGGCGAACACAGAGCUUGUGACAUCCGUAAACAAAGGGCAAGCUCCCAAUCUACUUAUUGAGUCUUAUCGACAAGAUGGCGUCAACGGGUGAACUACUGAUGGUAUUGUGUGUGUGUAUAAAAUGUCCUUGGUUAAUAAACAUCUGUACACUUGCAAAGUUAUCAAUGCCUCGUUUAAUAUUCCAAGACCCUUAUUAUAUUACGAAAGAAGUGUCGGGCUACUUCUAGCCUUGUCAGUAGUUUAAAAUAGCUAUUUAGUUUUUACUAUGAGACAUGCCCCCAUCGUUCCAAGUUUAAAGCGGUUUUGGUAGAAACGGCUAAAAACAGCCAACCUAAGAAUGAGUCUAUGAGCUUUUUUGCUCCCAACCGAACAGUCCAUCUCAUUAUCAUACUAAACAUAUCCCAGAUCCAUUUUACACAGGAUUUCUCCUUUAAGUCUGUCGGUGAUGAUUUGUUAUAAGGUUCUUCUGACUUAAAUGAAGCUUACUCGCAGCGCACAGACAUUUAAAAAAAAAAUGUAACCAUUUGGUGGCGGUCACACAACUAGGGUCUCACUCUGCUACCUUUUUCAUUUCAGAUUGAAGAUGGUUUGAGGCCCAUGAUUGUCAUGUGACUGGUAAGUCUAGUCCUGGGUUAAGAUGACUGUUGGUGUUACGUGCUUAAGUGAUGAAUCACUUGACUAGAGUCUCUGACUAACUCAUGAAGCUAUUUCACAGUACACUGACAAGCGCGUGCUGCUUGUCUUAAAUUGAAUGUUAAAUGCAGUUGAUGCUAACCAAUUGCAUCCUUAUCUUUGAAACAGACAUUACGUGAACAUUGGGAUCCUCCAAUGGCACAGACCUCCUUCCCUCUGUAAGUGUACUUGCCACAACGUGGUCGCUUCUAUCAGUCGAUGAUGAUUUGUUAUAAGGUUCUUCUGACAAAACAUGAAGCUUACUCGCAGCGCACUGAGACUGAAGCCAUGUUUGGAUGAUCUUUGUACACCGUGUUCUGUCAACUAAAAAUGUAUUUGCCUUUUUGCAGAUGUAUAAGCCCUGGCAGAGCAGGAGCCACUUGAGGGAUGACAUCCAGUAAGUUUUAACUUUGCCUCAGCUUCGGAUGAUUAAAACUAAUAUGCUGUAAUGAUGAAUUCACUAGACUAGAGUCUCUGACUAUCACCCAUGAAGAUCUUUCACAGUACGCUGACUUGGCAUACCGUAGUCGUUCAUUCAAAGCUGUUCAUUGUAAUUUGUACUAAUAUAUUUUCCCUUUAAUAGACAAGUAACGGAUCGAUUACAAACAGGAAACGACAAGCCUAUGUUGACUUGUGCCGUUUUUGGAAGACUCUAGAAAUUCAUCAAACUCAAUUAAGAGGUGUUAUGCUGAUGUGCUGCCCUACACCUCUAUGAAAUGUCCUCUAUUGAAUCUGUCUUAUAAUAAAGACUUUGAUAAAAAAUCGAAUUGUACUGUUGGAUUGAACAAAUGGUUAGUCUUGACUGGGAUUUUCAGAAAUGAACACUUUGUGAAAUUACCUUAAACUGCACUUCAAUAAAAAGUUACUAAAUCAA